rnacentral:lncRNA from 1 species
CCCUGAGCGCGUGGUCCUGGUCGUGAGCACAUGGAAGUGAGGUCGAGAUUUGUGUCUGUUAGACGCGCGACUGAACAUCAGAGAAAAAAGGGAUUAUAAAGCAGAAAAAGAGCGACAGAAACAACACGAACAGCGCGGUAAGACCUCCUGCUUUUGUCAUCUAUCGAGAGCUUCUUUGUUUUAAGAGAAAUAAUUGAAUUUCACUGAUUAACAGGCCUGUCAUUAAGGUGAAGAAGAAGCCCUCUUUCUUUUAUGUAUCUGCUACAAACUUGGUUUUAAAGAGCAGUAGUCACUGUGAGAAUGAAAACGACCUUAUAGAGGUUUAAUGUGAUGUGAAUAUAAAACGUCUCGGGAUACAACCUGUCUAAAACUAUUGUUCUCAGGACAAGUGUUAUCUGCGUCUGCCUUCUCUUCUAUUGUCUGUCCCACUCCACUUCACGCUGCAGAGCUGGAGAUGUUUAUAACGCGUGUUCUGUUAGUUUGCAUGGUUUACUUUGUGCUGUAAACUGAAGCUAACAAAGUAGACUUUCUGAGCCUUUAUUCCCCUGAGACCUGAGAGUAUAAAUGGCUGCUUGAAGCACUGUUUUCCCUCUGCUGUCAGUGUGUUAUUUCAAUGCUUUGGAUCAUAACAAAAGAUGAUGGAAGGCGUCUGUGAUAGCAUCAGGUAGAGCUUGGGUUCCCUUUCUCAAGCGUGAUGUGAAGCUUGUUUAUGUGCAGCAAAAUAAAGAAUAUUUCCAGGUUAGACAUUUUUUUUUGUUUAUUGGUUUGUGGAUGUAAAUAAAAGCUGCCAGGAAGAAAUUUUCAAGCAUCAUGUCUGAGAUAUGGGAUGACCACAAAAGGUGGGAUUAUUGUGGAUUCAUUGUGUGGACUUUCUCCGUGAGCGGGAUGGUGUUUGGUGUUAGGGGAAAGUGCGCUGUAAGCAUCCGACCAAGGUUCAAAAAACCUUUUAUAAAAACAAAUUUAUCCACUCUGCUGUUUUUUAAAAUACCUGAAGGUGCUAAGAUGUACUUGAUACUAAAGAAGAGUGUCUUUGUUAUUCACAGUUUAUAGUAUCCACUCAAUAAUGAAACUAUUCUAGCAACUAAUAGGAAUGCACUGAUCUGCUUUUUUCACCUCUAAUACCGAUAUAGAUAUCUACAGUUUAGUAUCAGCCCAUACUGAUCCAUUCAGUGCUAAACCUGAAGUUGUACCACUGCCCCUCGGAAUGUUUACUGGAGUUUUCUGCGCAGGUGUUGCAAGUGGCCAUCGAGCUUAUAGGCUGAGGUACUGUGACAAAGUUCAAGGUAGCAAACCCCAUCUUGAAAAGAAUGUGGGCAUUCGCUCAGCGUGUUUAUUUGUGGAUGCGACUCACGGCACAUAGCCUAGAGUUAGACUGAAUAGAUCAGUCCCUAUGCACCAGGCCCAUUGUUCCGAUACCCGAUCUAGAAUGUUCUUCAGUAUUCAGUGUUCUUCAGGACCGAUAUCGAUAUCAAAUAUCUGAUCGGUGCAUCCCUAGCAAAUAAGUUCCUUAAACAUAGUCAAAUCUAGAUUGUUUCAGUAUCAGGUAGAACAACAACAAUCCUACAAGUAUUUGAUGUAUGAGUAGGUGGUUAAAGUAGGACAAUAUUAUGGUUAUAAUGUAUUCAAUUCACAGACGGAAGUGUCUGUUUAUCUCUCAAGAUAAAACAGAUACACACCCAAAAGGUUAUCAACACCAGCCACUUCCUUGGAAGGUUUCCUCAAACACUCAUCUAACUGUCUGGAGUAGAAAAAGUCCACAAUCUAUGAACCUGUGUCCUUAACUGUAACUUAGGUUUGUUAUUGUAACCAACUCUUACUAUCUUUGUGUUUAUAACUUGACAUCAACAUUAAAGAACACCAAACUUGGGCUGUAGUUGUUUCCUAUAUCACUUCAUUUACACAAAAAUUCACUUCAAGGUAUUAAAAUGGCAGUAAUACAUUAAAAACAUAUCCAGGACUCAGGAUAAUGUUGUCAGUUCUCUAUAUCGGUCUAAUCUAACAGUCUUAUGCACACUUAUCAGCCAAUACAUUACAUCCACGAGCCAGACGACCACCCUCUUUUCAGGUCAAGAUCAAAACAGUCCUGCCCUGACGAGACAUUGACUCUCCUACACUCCUGAAGGUGUGCUUUUCUGUUAAACGUCAACAGUGGAUCCUUUGGGUCUGGUGAGUUGUGAGGUGUGGCCUCCAUGGUUCGGAUUGUGUCGUCCAGCACAUCCCUCAGAUGCUUGCUUGGAUUGAGAUCUGGGGAGCUUGGAAAGCACGUCAAGAUUGUUGAGUCCCUCAAGGCCACUUUGUUUCGUUGCUUCAUGUUGUCGCUCUCUGGGGCACUUUUGGUGAUGGAUGGAGGGUAGGCACGGGACCUGUGACCAAGCUGUCACCACAGAGCCCAGUACAAAACAAACUGAAUAUCCUGACAUCUUUCUAUCAAAAUCUGCAUUCACCGCUUUUAGCAUCAGUGAGCUUUGGCUGCCCAUGACCUUGUCACUGGUUCAUUUUCCUUUCUUGGUCCACUUUUGGUAAAACGGGAACACCUGGCAAGAGCUGCAGUUUUAAAGAGAUGCUCUGAUCCAUUUAUUUGGCCUUCAUCAAAGUCGCUAACAUACUUCCCCUGGUCCAUUUUCCUGCCUCUAACAGAUCAGCUUCAAUCACUAAAUGUUCCCACACUGACAGGUGUCAGUGGACGACAUAAUCAGUGUCAUUCAUUUCAUCUAACAGUGGUCAAAAUGUUAAAGCUGAUAUUGAAAAUGGAGGGCUGUAAGUGUGCCUCAGUAGAUAAUGUCUGCAGAGGCUGAAGUCAAUGUUGCAGCAGAUGUGGACUCAACUCAGUCCUCAGCCUUUUUGACAUGUUUUCCCCUGCUCUCACCUCUGAAUGUGUCCUGUUUUCUACAGUGAAUAAAAGUAAAAUGAGAAAAGACGAAUAUUAUCUUUCAAGCUAAAGGCUCAAAAUCGAUCAAUAUAAUCAAGAUUAAACAAUAAACAAUAUCACCAAAACUGUUACUUUAGUUGAAAAUUGACUCUUUUCUGUAAGCGCACUACAAUUAAACCCCAAAUGAAGGAAGUUAAAAGAGAAAAAUGAGAGUUGUUGGAUUCAUAACGAAUAAGUAAGUGCAGCUGAAUCAAAUAAACCAGCUUUCCCUCAAAGUGUGCACGUGAAUCAGUAUUUUAAGUAUUACAUCAUCUGACUUUUAGAGACCUCCUCCUCUUUGGAACAGUUUUUGGAUUUUUUCAAGAUGUCCUCUCAUAUCUUAGAGAGCCGUGUGUUUUCCAGGCAAACUAGCAGCGAGCCAAACUUGACUGCCUCUCCACAUCGGCUGCACACAUACUUCUCAGAUACGGUAGAGGCCCAGGAAUACAUGGAGGUCUGCUCUUAUGUAAUGUGUGUUUUGCAGAGCUGGAAGCUGGAAUAGAUUAAAGGAGCUCAAACAAAUUGAAGUUCAAACUGCAGCCAGUCGCCUGUUUAGACUCUUCUCUCUGGCUGCAUCUCAGUUUACAGCAUCAUUAUUAUGGAACGACAUCACUUUCCUCUUUGGGAAUACGCUACCUCAUUUGCAUGCUCUGUUUUUGUCCCAGUGCUGUCAGCGUGUUUUACACACAUGCACAGUGUGUGGCUUCUGUGUCUUUGCAGUGUGAGAUAGUUUACCAUGAUAGUAUCAAGGGAGAGGUGUAGUUUGCCCUAUAUUAUUUUUUUAAGGAAUACACAGUCAAAGAGAUGAUUGUGAAGGAUUUUUCCAGAAGUUUUAAGCCGUUUUCUGGACAUCUGUGUGGAAUUAACGUGUAGCUUCAAGCCUGUGUUUGGUGCUUUCCAUGGCAACGAUUGACUGACAUUUGAGACCCAGCAGUUCUCGGAGACACAUUGUGAAGUUCCUUGGAGCACCAGUGCCAGCCUGGGAGAGUGUUUAGGUUUCUAUUUCUCUUGAAAGGUAGGAGCUGGCGCUGACUAGCUUCUGCUCGGAAAUAGACACUGUAGAUGCCUCUGCACAUCGAGUCCAUUGUCACGUCCAAAGUCGUCGAUUAUGUUUACACACAGAGUCUGAUACUUUUUAGGGUUUUAUAUACUGUGUUUUUCCUAUCCGUCAAAUACGCUCACCAGUGGAUCCAAAGAUGGCGUUGUCUGUGGCACAUUUUGUUCAGGAAAACUGGUGGUCUUUUAUUGUGUGGUUCCACUAGAAGGGUAUCAAACUGGACUACUAACAUCCUGAAAUACACCUGGAAGUGAUCAGAAUCAGGAGUGGGUGGCCUAGUGUUUUCUUUUUCUUCAAUAAGUGACAGAAAUAGAAAUUCACUCCCACUGCUUUAUUUCUGUGCGUGAAAUUUCAUAUCGGUCUAAAAAGCUUCUGUGAUGACUUUUUUGAAGUUUGUGAAAUGGACCAAAAUUCAUAUUGAUGCCUUUAUAUCAUACUGUAAUCCAAAGUGGAGAGUCUUGCUAGCAUUAGCACUGGCACCUCUUUUACCUCAAAGCAAGUUUGUACUUCCUAAAUCUCUAUACUUAUCCAUAAAAUGGUUUUAAGUACAGUUAACUCUGUCAUAUGUCUUAAAAACCACAAUCUAAUUUAAGCUUAUACUGCACACACCCACCUACAUAAUGCACCCAAUAUCUAUUGUGUUAAAAUAUUGUAAAGUUUUCAUAUGAAACAGAAACAGUGUUUGUUCUCGGUCUUCAUUCAGUUAGAUUGUCCUCGUUUUUCUACCUUGUUAGAUAAAUUGCACUUAGAUCAUACAACAAAUCAGAGCAAAGACUGCUGGGAUGUUUUCACAGACUCGGUCAGUGAAGUUGAUUCUUUUUUCAAACCUGCUCUCUAAAGGAAUGUAGAGCUACAAACAAGCAUAUUUUACAUUGUUUGUGGAUCAGUUCUCUUUUUCAUAACCUCACAGUAUUGGAUUCUGUGAUUUAAAUAAGUAAGUAGGCUGAUACACUGUUUGGCGCCUCAGAGAGGGAUCAUUUGGAGCUGUGCCGUGGGGCGCUCAGAGCGAUGUCUGGCUGUUAUGUAACAGUAUUGGUCCCUCUAGUGAAUGAUGUAAUUGAAUAACCUCACAUGCUUUUAGAAUACACAAUUUGAUAAAGAAACAUAUACUUACACUCCAAACUCCAUUUUUUAAACUUGCAUUUAGACUUUUUCCCAGAUUACGGGUUUAGUUUGACUCCACUGUGUAUUACCCUCCUUUUCAGAGAUUAGAAGUUCACUUUCACUGCUGCAAACUUUGGGAAAUUUUUUCUAACACGCUGAUUUUUAUUCAACUUUUCAAGCUGAUAGUCCAUCUGUAUUCAGAUAGAGCUCUGAUGGAAAUAGCUGCUGAAUACUAAAGCUGGUCAGGCCUCUGUUUCUAUUUGCAUGCAGGGAACAUCGGUGAAUGGCAGAUCUAUAUUUUAAUAACAAUCAUCAUCAAAUCAGGGCGUUACAGGUAGAUAAAAGCUGUUUCCUCUACAGGUGUUUACUCUUGUCAUGUGUGUGUAAGUCCUCUCAGGAGGCCAAGAAGAGGGCGGGGAAAAGAAGAUUCAGGUCACAAUGUACAGUAGAUACAGGUGUUCAGUGAGGUUAGAAUACAUUGAUAUGACACACCCCUUUGAGCUGCGUGUUUACGGCGAGGCUAAGCUAGUGGGUGCAUCAUUCCCAUUAAAGGCAUUGCAUGUACAUUAAAAAUAAAUUAUAACUUGGUCAUUUCUAAACUGAUUUUCAUGUGGUUUACUUUAUUUUCAAUACCAAAACGUGGUAUCAAUACAGGACAUUUGAUUUUUUAAAAAAAGGCUAAAUCAAAUGGUCUGUUUUAAUAGCACAUUAGCAAGUUAUGAUUAUUUUCAAUGUACAUGUAAUGCCUUUAAUAAGAACAUUGCCCCCACUAAGAUGGCAGCCACAAGGGCAUGUUGCUUAGUGGGCUGCUACAGUGCUGGCAUAUCUAGUCUUUAAUACAUAUCUGUGGUUAAGUAGAGGAUACUGUAUAAUGAGCAGAUACUAUUUUGCAAAACCAGCUUCAAGUCAACACUAAGUAUUGAUUUAGAGGUGAUUGUAUUGACUUAAAAGUGGUUUAUUUAUGCCACAAACAUAGUGCUAGUGCUCCCAUGGCAACUGUAUUCUUAUCAACCUAAUUGUGGGUCAAAUUAACAUAAAGCUUAACACUUUCAUUCACAUUAGGUGUAAACAUUAGUUAUAAAUCAUACAAAGUCAAGGCUUUUGUUGGCAUUGAAGUCUUAACAUGGCAGCUCUUGCUAUUUAGAAUUAAUCACCAUUGUUUUGGGAGUUGACCAAUCAGAAUUAAGUAUUUAACACUGCUUGGUGAUCAGAAAAAAAGCAGGUAAUUAACCUAAUGUAAUAUUUUGGUGAUUUUACUCCCAGGUUUUCCCUUUUAAAUCUUUUUUUUUAGCAGGCAGGUGCAGUCAAAAUGUGAAGUUCAAAGAAACAGGCUGUGAGAUUAGACUGUUGUUCAUAAUGAAGAGAGGAACCGGCCAAGGAUUCACUAAUCUUUGACUGUGCACAUUAACAUCUCCACCCACAGCAGGGAUUACAGGCUGCAGUUUUCAAUCAGUCACACUGACGUCUAGCCUUGAGUUGUUCCAUUCAAGUGAAUGAAACUGACGUCAUCUGACCUUCUCUGCAUCCAGACAGGAUCUAGUGUCCUGGUGCUUCAAAACAUUUCCGCUUUUAUUGAACUGAUAACAAUAUUUAAAACUGCUCUCAAGGGAACAGAACCAAAUCAACACAAGCUUUUCUCUUGAGGUUGUAUUUAUUUUAAGGUUUUUAGUCCUAUUUGUUUUCAGCAUGUUUUCUCAGGUGAGGCGUAGUAAGUUGCCUUGGCAUUUACUUAAACAAAUGAAGCAGCUCAUUCAAAGGUUUACACCCUGAAAUGACUCCAGAUGUUGUUCAAAAUCAGUAUCCUUCCUUUGAACUUAAUUUAAGAGUUACUUUAUCUCUUACUUCCCCAAACCCACAUGAUUUUCAUUAGUUUUCCUUCAAAUAUUCUUCAAAUUUGCACAUUUUCCUCUGCACAUGUGACGUAUGAUCCUUCCUCCUUCUUUCAGAGCUCCAUUGAAUUCUUGUCACACGUUUUAAGGGUAUAAAUUCCCCCCUUUUGAUGAUUGAAUGUGACGAAUGAAAAUAGUGCUUGAUGCAUGAUUUUAUCUGUUAAUAGAUUUUCAUAGAAUUCAUCCCGUAACAUCUUUCUCUCUUCCUUACGUCAUCAAGAAGAGUCAGCUGCUGACAGUUGCCCAGUGAGUCAAAACAUGACGCUUGGUGUACUAAUGACUGUUUAUACUGAAACACUAUCCUCUGGCCAUUUUGUUUUGAUAUCCUGUUAUACCGACUGAUGUAUUAUGAAAGUUGAAAAGUACUUCUGGUGUGAGCAGUUUGUUUGAUUUUAGUCUAAAAGCAAAAGUUGCAGCUGAUUCUUUGGUGGCGGGAGGGGGCAGGUCUUCUGAAAGUAUGGUGUUUAUGUUAUUGUAAUGCACCUAUCGAACUUAAGCAUGUUACCAUAGCUUUAAGUAGGGCUGGGGGAUAAAAUGAUAACUAUAUAUAUCGAAAAUUAAUUUCCCUCAAUAUCAAUAUAAAACAUGGUCAAUACGCCUUUCAAUAGCCACCAUUCUGCCAUGUUUUGGUAGACUAUAUGAAUAGCCAAUGAAAAGGGGAGUUUCUCCGGGUCCACUUCGAGCUGAACCAAUCAUGUGCUGAAUUAGCACCAAGUAGCAAACAACUGCAUAGUAGCAGGCUGCAGCUACACGCAACCAUAGAACUUCAACAGGGCUACACCUUCCGAAAGAAGGUCAAAGAGACACAAAGACCUCACAGAUGCUGUCGCUUAUUGUAAUGCAAAAGACAUGCUACCAUAAGCACUGCAAAAUUUCAAUUUUAUAUCGUGAUGUCUAUAUCAACUGAUAUGAAAAAAAUUAUUGUGCUAAACUUUUUGCCAUAUCGCCCAGCCCUAGCUACAAGGGAUGGGAAUUACAGGAUAAGUUACAUGAUGAUGUAUGAUGUGGCUGGUGAUUAUGAUAAAAAUAAUGGUAAAAUAUGAUGAUUCUAUAUUUCAGACCUCCAUCUCAGGUUAUGCUUCACGUUUACUAUCGUUGCCAUGGUUGCAUUCGGUGUGCGUCCUUCUUUGGUCAACCUGCUGUCCAAUUGGACAUAAGGUUGUUCCACGUGAAAAUGGACAGAGCGCAUGAGUGCCUGUUUUUGGGAAGCCUCCCACACAUAAGGACUUUUUAUUGUAAAUAUUGAACACAUUUAAUAUUUACGAUUUCAAGUUUGUGAGGAAGAAAAAUCCCUCUUAUUGCACCACUGGACAAGAUGUUCCUGAGAGAGAUCCAGUAAUCACGCCUUUGCUGACCUUUUUCGGAAGGGGGUAUUUUGGCCCUAAAUUGGCGUGUUAUCUGUGUAGGUUCUCAUUCAUCCAGGUCAUGGUUAUCCAAGAACAAAGGAAGCCUUUUAGAAGAGAGGAGAAAUGUCUUUGAGAACCCCAAACAAGUCCAGUUGCCCUUUCAACUAAGAAUUGGCUGAAUUGGCGUGAUUACCUUCUGGUGUGUACUUUGCUUGAGGUACAGUGUUGAAGUCAAAUUGGAGGGGAAAUUGUGGUUUUUUUCUAACCAAAGAGUAACCUUUCCUUUAGAGCUUGCCAAGUAUUUUUGGUGCCUAACUCUAUCCGUACAUUUUUUUCACAAAACAAAAUUAAAAAUGUGGCUAUUCUAAAACUUUAUUCUGAAUGUCAGCAGGCGAAUCUUUCAAAGUCUUGUUGUUGCUUUUUUAUAUUGGCUACAUGUGAGGAGAAUGUCAUAUUUUGAAGGCUUGUGCUACUGACUGAGCUGCUGUCUUGGAUAAUUUGAUAGUGAGAGUGUGCUGCCAAAAGACUGACUGCUGUAAACACCCAGUAGUUCUGAUUUUAGUGGCAUCAAUCACCAGAGGAAACGCGAUCCUCCGCUGCUGUCAAACAGUUUAGGAGGUAGACGUUGGCACGAACAUAUAUACACUGUCAUGUCAUGGAGGGCAGCAUGAAGGAGAAGGCAAGGCCCUGCUCUACUUCCCAGGUUCCCCGGCUGAGAUGAGUCACUCUUUGCAAACAAUGUGUUUGAUUUUACUGUCAGUUCACCUCAGGCGUGGAGUGGAGAGAACAGACACAAACAGUUUGACUGACCUACAUACUCUGUUUACGUGUCCCGCUGCCGAGCGAGCGAGUGAGUGGAAGGACUUAAGUUUGAAUGGAAACAAACCCACACAUUUAAUAAGCAUGUUUCAAAAAUCCAUUGUGGAGCUGACAGAGCAGAGGAGGAGCGCAAGACGGAUACACACCUUUUUGUCAGUGAGCGGCGGUGAAAGGUAAAGCCCACAUGAGUUCGGUGAUGCUGAUGCAUGCCAGCUCAGUGCAAAUAGGAUGACUAAUCUGACAUGUGGCACCAGUACUGCAACAUAAACCCUCUUCUCACAUUGAAACGUUGGUAGCUUUCUGGCAUCCAAACAAAGGAUCUGUAAUGGCUUUUUCCCACUGGUUUCCAAUAUGGGCUGAAUCUGAGAGGUCAGGAGAUGAUUAGCAGGACAGAAAAUAAGAGAAAUUACACUCUGCCAAACCAAAUUAUGAUGAUUUUUUAAUCUCUGCUUUUCUGUGAAAAAAACAAAGCACAUUACUCCUGUUUUAGACUAAAAUUAUUGUUCUUAUUUGACAGAUUUAUAAAUGGAAAACUGCUCUCAACUUAACACAACUACAUGUUUGUUUAUUUUUGGCUGAGGCAGUGACCAUCAUUGGCAUAGAGGACAUCCAAUCCUUUAUAAUCUCCCUAUAAUUAAUUAGCCAUAAAUCCAAAGAGGUCUGGUGUUGGUGCUCUCUGUUGUUUUCCUAGUUGCAGCUCAGAUUUCCUCUGUCUCCGUGAUGGUAUAUAGACUAAACUUCAUGCUACAGGACCUGUAAACAUCCACAUACGUGUAUAAUCAGUGUUGUCAGAUUUUGCAGCAUUACAGCAAAAUUCGAGCCAUGUUUUCGCUGUAUGAUCCCGUCUCUUUUUCUCCGAGACCUCCUGUGAGAUGAAUUUGGAAGCUGGGUGCCAGCCAAUCACGUAGGUGGGAUUUAGAAUUAUCUUCCUGUGCCAGAGCAGAGGAAAUUGUUGACACAUAAAAUUGCCACAAAAACAGAAACAAGAGGGGGAGAUUGGCAGCUGUACAGGUUUUUGAUAGUCAACUUAGAGAGAUUACAACUGUUAGAAAAGCUGUACUUUCUAUGCUAUGUCUGAAAACAUUAUGUUGUUUUGGGUUGGCUGUCUGUCCCUGCAGCUCGUGUCAGCAUGCAGAGCAUCUUAUUUACUCCUGGAGGGAGUUCUUGUGUCUGUAAGUUUGGCACAAACAUCCGCUUGAAUUUAAGUAUGGAUCGGUCAAAUUUUGGUGGUCAAAGGUCAACAGCCAAAAUUCGUUAUUUUGGGGCUUUGAAGCAAGAUAUUCAUAGAUUUUUGUGGCACAUUUUCAACCAAAUAACUUAAUAAAGGUCCACGUCCAAGCCUCUCAAGAUAAAAGACUCUGGGCACAGCAUGUGGACAUAACACAACAGACCCUCAGUCGUCUGGAUCAUAGCUUUGAAAAUGGUUUGUCUGUUGGUUCUCAUGACAUUACUGAUCCAGAGCAAUGAUGUGUCUAAAAGCACUAAAAUCAGCGAGUUCACCCUCUUAUUUUUAGGAACAGUGAACUGAACUGUUUAAUUCAAAACUCAUAAAUGCACACAUGAGCCCACUCUGAUGACGGUCAAUGGCUGCUCACAUUUAGGGAAAAUCUGAGAGGUCCCAUGAGGUGCUGGAAUUGACUAAACAUUUGAUGUUACAACAGCUGGAGUCAGAUUUAGCGUACCCCAGCAUAUGUCGAACUAUAAAUCUAAUUUAGGAUGCAGAUUUUUAAAAUACUAGAUGUUCAAGUUGGAAGCUAAAUUCUGCAAUAUAUAGCUGAUUUUUUUUCCUAUGUACACUUUGUUAAACAUACUCAAAUUUAAUUGGCUUUUAAAUUCAGUAUGUUUGAUUUCAUAGCAGAAUGCAGUGGUUUAUGUAGUUUAAAGCUCCUGUGAUGAACUUUCAGCUUGUGUUAAUUUAGGCACCCUCAGUGGACCAAGUAGUCUUUGCUUAUCUUAUCCUUUGUCUUUGUCUAAUUUACUUUUUAUAAAAUAAAAAAAUAAAAAAUCAUAAAAAGGCAUUUAUAUGAAUCUCAGUCAAGAAAAAAAAAAAUCCUCACAGGAGCUUUAAGCGAAUAUUAAUAAUUAAAGGCUGGGGGUUGGCGCAUAAGAGGCUCUACUGAAAUAAAUAAGCGCAGCUAAAGAAGAUAAUCAUGAGCUGGGUUAUUUUAUGGACUUUGAGCUUUGUUGAAAAUGUAAAAGGAUGAACUUUGUGAACUAGUUCCUUUUGAUCUGUGUGAAAUGAACUUUGAGCGAGGCUAGUUUUUGUGUGAACUUGCACCACACUCAGGGCUCGACAGCACAUCUGUUUCAGCACAUCCGCAUUUGGGACUAAAAAUAGAUGUGUGCGAAUUGUAAAAUGUAUUUAGGGGCACCUGUGCGCGUAAAAAAAAAUUUUGCCAAGGCAACAAUAUUUCCUAUAAAUACCGUGGCGAAGUUAGUUUUAGGUUGGAUAAGGACAUUCACUGUGGAUCUGCUGGUGUCUUAGCACUCUUCGUAACCGGGAAUAGCAACAGUAGCUUGGUUAAAUCUACACUUGCUAAAACAUCGGGUGUUGAAUAAGGGACUGUCAAUAAAUUAGCGGUUGAUGUUCUCAAAAAGGCUGUUUUCCUUCAUUACUUUCCAUGUCAUGUGACCAAUUGCUCAAAAAUUGAUUGUAAAUAACAGCAAUAAGGUCAGACGAUAAGACACACCUCUUUAUUUCCCUAAUUUGUCCUCUAAAAAAAUUUGUGUUAAAUUUAAAGGCAAAUUUUGAUCAAUUUUCAGUGUGUCCCUAAAGUUCUUUGUGUGCUCCUUACUUUUUCAACUUAGGAGCACAUGUGGCCCUUGUGAAAAAAGUUAGUGUCAAGCCCUGACACUGAACCAGGGUAUCACAGAUCAGACUUUAAAAGUCACAUUCAGUAAUCUUUUCAGAUACACCUUCUUAUAUUUUUUUUGAUGCACGUUUUUUCAGCAUUUUCAGAGUCAGUGCUGGUUCUUCUUUUCCUUUGACUGCUCACUAAUUCAUCACUAUUCAUAAGACACAGAGAUGCAGACGGUACAACACAGGAUCACAUGUUACCAGCGGAGCUCACAGUGCAGUUUAAUGAUCAUUAAAGCAAUGUUAAUGAAAUAUUAAAGCCAUCUUGUCAGUGCAGACUCUCUCCAUCAGCCGCCCGUCAGGGGUUAGAGGUCAGGCUGUCUGGCAGAAUUCAUCAGGCUGAUUAAAAGUACCUGCAGAAGGUUAACGCAGCCGGGGGGCCUCCACAGCCUGGUUACAGCUUAUUUUAUGAAGUAGGAACAGCUUCCUCACCUUUCCUUUGUUGCAUCCUCCUCUUGUGUCAUGCGAAGCAGCUGGUGAAAAGAAAGUGUGAAGGCAUUUGCCGCUGUAGCACGCCGUGUUUAGGUGUCACAGGACGUCCCCUGACACCUAAAUACAGCCGCGUCCUCGCUCAGACAGCCUUGAGUUGUCACUCAGGAGCUCCAGCUGUCUGUCUGGAGAGAUGAUUUGUGGCGCAACACAUCAGACUGAGUAAUUUAUCUUCUCAGGACGGGGAAAUAUCCAUGGAAACAGGUUAGAGUACGGUUAGAUAUGGAGGUUUGUGAGGUUUUUGCAACAUUUAAAGGUUUCCCCUCUGGUAAAAUCAGUAGAUUGGUUUGAUUUUGAGGCGUUUAAAAGUGCAUUCACACUUCACUGAGCUCAGCUUUCUUUUUUCCUUAUUGAGGAGCUUUAAGCAGACUGAUCCUGCUCUCUUUUGAUGUGCUGACUGUCUGUCCCAGGGGGGUUUUGAUUGCCUCUUUACUCCCCUCCCUAUGUAAGUCAAUAGGAGCUAGCCUGCCAUCUGUGGGAAUUGAUACCUCUGCUGAAUCAUACUAUUAAAAAGCUCCUCCAUCUUUCCUUUCCUGUGUCUCUGCUGCCGCCUGCACCCUCUCACCCCUCCCCCUCCCCCUCCCCUCCCCUCCUUUCCUUCUCCCCCCCCUCUCUGAACUCAGGCUGAGGGGUCUUAUCUUACUGCCAGAGAUGCAGAGAUGUGUUUGCCAAUUGGGGCUAAGGCCGUGUUCAGACUGAAAAUAGCUGUGCAUGACUGCAUUGCUGCGAGAAGAUGGCAUAUGAACAUUGGGGUCCAUUUUUAAUAAGAUGAGUGAGUAAGCAGGACUCUCUGCAGAGGGUACAAGACAUGUGACUCUGCAGGAUGGUCCAAGUCUGUCUCAGUUUAGUGUAUCUGUCAUUUUCUUUAAUACCUGGACCCAGAACUGAGGGGGACAUUUUUACUUAUCUAUUUUUUUAACCUCCCUGAGUCUGUGUUUGUUAGAUUUUUGAGAUUUUUGUAAUUUUAAUCUGAUUUUACAAUCUGAAAUAGAUAAGUACUACAAUGUCCGUGUCAGCUGUGGCCUCCUCUGAGGACAAAGCAGUCUUUGCUUUUCUUGUCCUCUGCAGUAACAUCUAAAAAAUCUCAUUAAAGAGACAGAUGCAUCAGUGUGAGAAACACCAGGCUUUGUUUGAUCUGUAAAUUAUGAAAAGCUAUUAAAGAGGUAUAAGAAGGAAGUAUAGAGUCUGAAAAAAAGCAUAAUACUCUCUCUUUGAGGUCUGGGAGCAUUUCACCUGCAGUGCACCAAAGAAAAAAAACUGCCUGCUCUGUUAAACGCAUCAGUAGACUGCAUAGACAGUAUAAAACAUGAGCAUAGCCUCAAUAAAGAGUUUCAAAGCCUGUUAAUGGGGGUUGCUGUGAUAGAAAUGCUGACUCAAUCCAAUCUCGAGUUGACCCAGACACAUGCAAAGAGGUGGAGAUGGGGUGGGCUUCAGCGUUCUCGCCAACAGCUACCUGUCAGUCAAGUCUGCUGUGCACAGAAUAGUGUAAAACUGGUUAAGAAAUCACCCCUGUAUGAUGCACGCAAACAAAGAAAUGAGCUAUUCAGACCAAAUAUUGCUUGUUGGAUCCAGUUGCACCUGAAACAGUUGGUAAUGUGCUCUCAAGUAAAAAUGUGAGAAAGGUUUCUGCAAAUCUAUCUGGGAUUCAGAUAUCUACAACAAUACUUAAAGACUGAUCUUUUUGUUUGUGUUCUUCUUCACAAAGAUGUAUUUAAAGUAGGGUAGAUUCUUUAUAAAACCUUGAGUAAGGUGAGUUGAGAGAGAGCUGUUCCUCCAAGUCUCGUGCAGUUGAAGUUGUUUGGUCGCUCAGCACUAAACUCACACCUUGAACAAAUGUUUAUUUAUUGGUGGGAUUCUUGGCAGCCCAUAAAUUACGUCUCCGCUCCUCCUGUGUCACUUAUUUUAGUUAUUCUUAGAGGACAGUUGUGAAAACAUUGAUAGCGACAACAGAGGAACAGAAGCCGAAGCCAGCUGACACCUCCAGCCUCUAAUGGAGAUACAGUGUGAGGAAGAGGAGGGGUGUGUUUGUCACUGCGGGCCCAGCAGGCUCAUCCCCGUCCUGAUUAAUGGAGCUGUCUGCGGGGCCUCGCAGGGAAAGAGCAGGGCUGUUUUCACAUUUACCAAAGCCCCCGUUUAUUUGCCCACAACAGAUGGGCCCCCUGGGGCCCCCGGCUCAUUUGCACCUCCCCUACCUUCUGCGCUCUGAAUCCUUCAUCUUCAUCAGUGAGCAGGUUUCUGAGCACAGCCACCUGACCCACAGGUGACCUCUGCGACCGUCCACCUUCACAAAGUUAGCAGGUACUCCGAAAAGGAGGUUCAUCACUCUUCAUGUACACUCUCUGCAGGAGUCACUUUCUCCAAGUGUGUUGUGUUGUGAUGUUUCAUGAGUGUUUAUGUGGAGACUAUUUUACUGCAGUACUUCUGUGUUUCCACCCCUCCAGUGUUGAAUGUUGGAGAGAGAAAGAAUACUGUAAUAUUUUAUUUAUGUUCACCCUGAAUUUGGGCAAAUAUGCGGACUGUGGAAUGUUAAGGUAUUGUCAGGAUUCGCGAACAAGUUAAAAUUCGUCUUAUUUUUGCUGUUUUCCUGGAAUAAAGAGACUAAAUUCAAGCUCAAGUUAAAGUUACUGAUUUACUGCUUACUUUAUUUACAACUGUCUGAUCUUUACUGUUGCUUUUAAUGCAAAAAAUGUUGAAUUUUUUUCUGGUUCCAGCUUGAUAGAUUUUAAGCUAUUCUCUUUUGAGUGGUCCUUGAACUUUCAUGGCUAAAUGUGCAAUUCAAAGUUACUCUGACUUUCAGAACUUUUGAUAAUUUCUAAUAUUUUGUAGAAUAAAAUAAAAAUAUGUAUAAAAAAAAAACAAGAUAAAAAUGAUCUGAGAAUAAAAGAAAUUAAAAAAUAAGAUGUACCCAUUUGGAUACUGGAAGCUAUUUGAACACAGAUGUUACACUUGACUUAAAGAUCCAUUAAAUGUUAUUUUCGAUUCUUUUGAGCUAGUCCAGGCAGGGAACUUGAGCUAAAUCAUUUCACCUUAGCUGUUCAUCAUUCUCACAAUCACCUGAUAAAGUACCCUCCCGAUAAGGUGAUUUAUUUAAGCUGUAAGAUUUCUGUAAGAAGUGCUUUACUCAAACGUAGUCCUACCACCUUCCCAGCAAAGCGAGAUAAGAUUUGAAGCCUAGAUGCCAAAAACAUAAACAAUAUUCUGCUGCUGCAAUAAAGUUUUUAUCAGUAUAGCGCAGUCAUUCUGUCAUUUUCCAUCAGAAUUUCAUGAUUUGGCAUUUGUAAGUUGUCAACGUUGGCUCUUAAUAAUUGGAAGUUAUCCAAGUCUUUAUGAACUACAAUAAAACUAUGAAUACAGAAUGUAAUCAGCAGAAUGAACCAGAAUAAGAAUAACCACUUUAACCAACAUCUUUAAAAUCCUGCUCUCACCUAAAUACAUGUCAGUAACCUUAUACUCAAAUGCAUACAGUAACGGCACAUUUUCCACACUCGACUCUUUAAAUCUGAAUAUGUCAGGUACAUUGUAUUCAUGAUGCUGGGUCAUUAUAAUGUGCUCACUCUGCAGAGUGUGUAGUAGAAUAUUUUGACAGUGUGGUAGCUGUACUUUUACUCCAGUCAAGGAUAUUUAUACUUCCCACACCACUUUUGAAAUAAUAUGUUUAAUCCAGUGACUGACACCCCCCCAGAGGAUUAAAUUUCAGGAGCAUCUCAGACAGAAACAGCUUAGGAUCAAGAAUUUCUUCCUGGUAUAUGAGUAGCAUGUCAGUGAUCCAAACACUGUAAAAGUAGGAGUAAAACAGCCAAUUAAACAUUUUCUGCUUUUAGCCACACUGUUUUUCUGUGCCAGGAUUUCUUCCUCAUCCGAAUAAAACCAUGCACUUGUUCUCGUAAAUCUAAUCUGCCAAAUGAGACAAAUGUAGCACCAGACUGAAAAAAAAAAUCAGAAAAAAAAAAGCCUCGUCCCAGAAGCGUCUGUGCUCUGCCAUGUCUCCCGAGCUUUUCAUUCACACAGCAGAUUGUCUUUGUUUGUCUGAAACACUCAUGAUGAAUUCUACAUUGUAGAUGAAGAAGACAGUUUGAAGACUCUCUGUUAAUUGUCACAAAUGGGAUCCUUUUGUUUAAGCCUCAGAUUUGGGGGAGAAUUGAACAUGUCUUAUCCUCCUCUCUCCUCGGCGGUGACAUUGGACAUUGUUUCCUCUUCCUGCUGAUGGCUGUUGUUCUUUUCAGUAUCAGGCCGCAGCAGCAGCAGGACGACACUGUUUCAGUUGCUGCUGAUUCACCACAGAUUAGAUUGUGUCCCCCGAGCAUGAGAUUGCAUGGUUUCACUCUGUAACAUUACCCAUAUGCUAUAGACUAUCAUGCGUAUUAUACAUGGCUGUUUUGACCACUGACUGUAAAGACACAACUCUUUGAUGUCUCCUCACUGGUCUAUACAUUCAUACUCAGCCGUGUCCAAAGCAUUCGCACCAGAUUUAGCAAAACCCCGACUUCAGAUCACAUUUAGCAAAAGCCUCCUGAUUAUUCCCCUCAAAGUUGAACUGUGACUGACCCAGGCACUUUUUCUACUUAGCAGGGAGUGAAACAGAUGCUCCAUUUGGGAGAAUUAGCUAGAUCUCCAAAUGUAAACUGAUUAAGGAUUAAGAAUAAGAGAGUGGAGUCAAUCCUGCUCUCACAGCUCUUUUUCCCUUCACGGCUCACUUGCCUCUUUUUUUUUUUCUUUUCACUCCCGCCUCUCCUCUUUUCUGCAGAGCACGGCUCUGGUAUGUCCAAAAAAUUGUCUUUGGACUCCGUUUUGGCUCAACACGGGUUUAAACAGCCAGGAGAUGUAGUUUAAAAUGGUCGCAGUGGUUGUUUGGGUGCAUGACUAAAGAAGGAAGCAGCUUAAAGUCUUAGACUUAACAGUUUUUCACACCUCAAGUACAACCUUUUGGCAUUGACCAAAUACAGGAUUAAUUGAUUUAGUUAGCUAGCAAAUUAGCCAAGGACUAUCUCCUUGUGUUCUUCUAAAACCUUUGUUUUUUUUAAAGGUUUUUGCCAGUUUGGUUUGAAACAAGCCAUCUUAAGGUGGGAAUUACACAGCCAUGACAUUAAGACUAAUGCCGGCUCUCCCCAGGUUUAAACUGGCACAACACAGCUGAUGAUUUGAAUACAAGACGCAUCCUGCUAUGUGUCUGUGAGGGCCAAGUGACAUCCUCUGAGAAUGAAAAAUGUGAGGUACUAGGACUGGGUGAUUAUAUGAUCAUGAUUGAUGAUCGUGAUAAAUUUCAGUUCGACCACAGUGAUCAGCUGUGUUUUUUUACUCGAUCAAACAUAGUGGAACUGUGCGUCACAACAGCCAAUCAGAGUCAAGCUUUUCCUGCUCACUUCUGUAAGUUGUCGGAGAAGUAAAUACCGAACGUGCAGCGUGGAUCGGACAAUAUGACAAAAUAUAUUGUGAUCUUUUUUUUCUUUUUUUGCCAAAUCGCCCAGGCCUGUGAGGUAUCCAAAACUGCAGUUCAUCAAAUGGCCACUGGGAGCUGGAACCAAAAGUGAGACAUUUCCUAUAGAGGCCCAUCUGAAAAUGCACAGAUUUACUGGAGUGUCAAACAUGUUUACUGCCUAUUAUUAAAAAAACAAAGCUGAUAAAACAAAGUUAUAGUAAAACUGUUUUAUCAGUUUAGCAGAAAUCUCUUUUGAUAUUUUAAUGAGUUACUUCUAGUGGACUGGGCUUCUAGUCGUUCCUCCUGAUCUGGAUAAAUCAGUUUAGUUGGCUGAGAAGGGACAGAUGGCAACCCUAACUAUACCAAUGAGCAACAACAGCUAUCUGCUUUGGUAACACACCAUACCAAGCUUAACUGUUUCACAUUUUGCUUUAUAAUGCACAUUUACAGCCGUGUUUUUUCACUUUUAGAAUAAGGGCUUUAUUACUUUUUAUCAGGUAACAACUUUUAAGGUUUUUUUUUAAUCAGUGUAAGUAAAGUGGUGUUAAAGUAAACCUCCUUUGGUCUUGGAAGUAGAGAUAGAUAAAACCAGCCCUAACAUGCCUCUGUACAUGUAACUCUUUUGUGAUGCUGAAUGGAUUGCUUCCAGCUGAUCAGAUAGCUCAUCGUGUCUGUCUGCGAUCCUUCACAUGGUAAACCAGCCAAUCUCCGUCUAAUCUCUUUGGGCCUGAGCCAACUCUAAACGCACAGAUCGCCUCUUUUCACAGAGACGGCAGCGUCAGCAGGGCUGUGCUGCUCCUCUGAGCCCCCCGAGCAGACCCCAGGGUCACUGUCUCCCAUGCCCUGAAAAGGAGGUUGAACCUGUGGGACCUGGCCUGGAAAGUGUCCUGGUACUCAUCAGCUGUUGGAGGUGUUUUGUCUACAAGUUUUUCUUUUUUUCAUUCAUUUACUUUAGUGUGAGCGCGCCUGUAACAUUAAACAAGCAAGGGGCUGAUGUGUAAAUAUUUAGCCUUGCAUGUUUGAGCCAGUUCAAAGGCGGCAGGAGAAAUGAACGCUCUUACCUCUGCUCUAGAUAAAAGACACUGAUUUAAACACACUUAAAGAAACUUCACAUGCUUUUAUUGUGAAGGGAUUCAUCAGAAACCUGCUGUUAAUGUAGGACUAUAAGCUUCCAGUUUCAUCUCUCCCACCAGAUUUAUGUGCCUCAAAUUCAGACUCCUGUGUCCUAAAAAGCUGGGCUAGUUAUUGGUUGUUCCUCGAAAUGAAAGGCAUGUUGGAGCCUGUUUGAGGACAAGGUACUAGUCUGGAUGCAGGGUGAAAAGUCAUGGUAUGAGAGGUCACUUUAGGCACGAGCUUAGCUCUUGUAAAACACAGACUGAUGUCUAGACAGUCCGGUCAGAAAGAUCAUGACCUUUUUUUGAGGGACUGUGUGGGAAGAACGGCUCAUGUGACAUGGUUUAACCUCCUCAUUUCGACAUAUUUAAUGCUUACUUCGCAUCAUGUUUCAUUGUUUUUCCAUGAUGUUUUACAAAGAAGUGUCCACAUACCCAGAUAUUGAUCAAUGACUAAGACUUUUCAUCAUGUGGGAGCUAAUUUCCUCUGUAUUACAAUGUUAUCUUCACAGCACAUGCCAAGAGUGUUUCUCCUCCUUCCUCUGCAUGUACAGCCUCAAUGGCUGCCCUGAAGGCACAAGAAGUACAAGAAAUACCUUGUGACAUUUAAAUAAAUCUGAUAUAUGUUCAUUAUCUCAGGCAUCAGAUAGUUCACUGUUGGGUCAACCACAUAAACUGACAUCAUGGAAAAUGUCAAAGCUGUCAAAGAAGGAAGAGGUUAACUUCAAAAGACUCAGAUAUUUCUCACAUUUAUUCAUUGAACCCUCUUUUCCUUGAAAUGUGAGAUCUCCUCCUCUAUGAAUAAGAAGUGAAAGUUUGCAGGAUUUCUUUUCCUUUCAAGGAAGAGUAGUGACCUAAGAUGUGGGAAAACCCACAUUAAAAUUCUUUCCUGAUUUUCUGAGGAUGAUAAUGGUGUCGUUCUUACAGCAGGAAAUAAACGCGCUCUGUCACAGUGCCAAUGAGAGGCCUGGUUGUUCAUUAAUUGGAUUUGUGGGAUGUUUCUUAAUGACUGGAAGUGAAGAUGAAAGCAGAAUAAACAGGGUGAAAUUCCACGCAUGCCGCUGAGAACAGUAAAAGCUGUGCAUAGGAAUCAUCUGCCUUUUUAAAACUACUCUGACUGUGUCAUUUAACAAUUUCACACAAAUGUACUCAUUUCCUGAGGAAGUCAUUACAGCAGUGCACACUGAGGACGGUGUCUGUGGUUUAUCAAAUUACAUUAAGACCCAACAUGACCCCUAAAAAAGCUGAAGUGUGUAUUUUUUGUUUUAAGAAAGUUUUCUCUCUUACUUCGUAAAGUUACUGUACUUAGCUUGAACUUUUGCACUUCCAUUGACCUCCAACUACCAACAAUUAUUUUAAUUUUUUAUCAAUCUUCUUGCCAUGUCACACUAAAACGUUUAGUGGUAUAUAAAUAGAAAUUAAAUAAAAUGUGAAAAACUCAUAAUUGAAUUUGUUAGCCUCAAACGACCUCUUCUAUAUGAAACAGGAUGUGAUAUGAUACAACAGGACAUGGUACUGUGUGAACUAUACAAUGCCAAAUCAUUCUGAUAUCAGAUUUUCACCUCAUGAUUAUCGUAGCCAUCAAAUACCAGGAUGACUUUAACAUCACUGUAUUUAUAAAAAGAUGAAAUUCAAAACAGCACAGAAGUAGAACUAAAAAAAAGGAAGACAAGUAGAGCAACCUAUAAGAAAUGUUUAUCAGGAGUACAAGUCCACUUUCAUGUUGUCAUCCAUUUCUGAUCAUGGUCAAAUUUAUGAUUUAUUUCCAUAAAUAACUGAAACUUCAUUAAAAAGACAAUAUCUCAUUAAAUGAUUGAUUGUCCUGCUUUAAAGAGAUAAACCGGCAUGAAAUUAAUGUAGGGUCAAACACACUGUAACACCGAGUUAGACACCCCCUCGAGAGAUGGAUGUUGCUGACCGCUUGUUUCUCUAGUCACUUCACUUUAGUCACGACCGCACGAUAGCAAUACACAGCGGUCUGAGGAGCCAUAAACAAACCUCAAACAAAAUGCCACUCUAUAGACACAAAUAAUGUUCAGAACAGCACCUAACUUCAUCAACAGUACAUAGAUAACUUUGCCUAAUUUCUUUAGCAAAGAGACUAAACUCAACUCACCUACUCUCCUCCAGCAGCCGCUUGUUUGUAGCAAGACCUGGGGCCAGGCCAUUAUGGACUACAGUGGGGGGACGCAGCUUAAGGAAGAACAUUUAUGAAUAUCCCUUUAAUUUGAAUAUUUUUCAGUCUUGGUUUUAAGCUGUUUUAUUUCCUACAAUGUCAAAGUACUUUUUUAAUUUUUAAAGUAUAAGCGUCCUUUAAGAUUAUCAGUUUCAAUGCUGAAUGACACCAGUUAAAAGUACAGUUAGUUCUUUACUUAGAAAGUGCAAAUUAUCAUGUUUUUGUGACCUGAAGUGACACAAGCUCUAACUUAUACAUAUAGAUUUACAACAUAACAGGAAAUUUCUCAUUUUAAGAUGUGUGGCAACCAGUGGAAAAUAACUGUAUGAUCCAUAUGAUAAGAUCUAAUAUGAAGACAUGACCUAACAUGAUAUGUCACACUUCAUUGUGUAAAUUUUGUCUUCCUUUCCAGUGCUGCAGAUUAGUAUCAGCCUUCAAAGUGAAAAACAGGAAGACAGACAGCAAUCUAUGUAAAUAUGAGGCAUGUAAAUGUACACAAACAGCAUAAGUUGUACUUUAAACUGCCUGAAGCCAAAAUAAACACAAUAAUUAAAAAGGAUCAUCUCAAACUGGAAGUCUUUAAAUCUUCAGCCAAAAAACAACUGAUGCUACAACCAGCAAACAAUUAAAAUAUAAGUUUUAAACAUUUGAAUAAAAAGAUAAAAGUUAAACUCAAGAUUUAGCCUUAGCACUUGAUUAAAUGUAAUAUUCUGUAAACUGUAAGUAUAAAUAUUUCUGCGGAUCAAUGGUUCUCAGCUUUUUCAGUUCUGUUUCCCUCUCUCUUUUUCUUGUUCACUGUUCUUGGUUUACUUAAUGUUGAGGUCAGGUAAGGUCAGAGGAUAGGGGAAAACCUUACAGUCCAAAUCCAAAGAUAAUCAUGCUGAAAAAACACGAGACGAAGACAAUGAGGCGAAUUCUCACAUUUAAGAAGCUGGUGACAUCAAAUGUUUGACGUUUUCCUCAACGAUGACUCCAACGAUUAUCUGAUAACCAAAUAAAUUGACCCCAUUGUGCCAGUAUCUGUAGUUCUCACAUGAUCCGCACAGCAAUACCAACACGUGGGAGUUUCUAGAGGAAGUCGCUUAAUUGAGGAUGUCCUUCGCCUGGAGGACGAAUACUAAAUCCAUACGCGAGAGGAAGAGACGCCGAGCUGGGGUGGAGCCGUUUACACCAAAAGAAAAUCCUUUUAAUUCAGCCUAAAACUUGAGGGAAUAUGAGAGUUUGGGGAAUACUGAGUAUACAUUAAAGAGGCUUCAAAUCUGCUAGUGAUACCUUUAAGCCACUGGCUGAGUAGUAGCAGGCUUUGUGUGUUUAUUGUCAUUAAUUUGUAUGUCUUUUGAGUUCAAGGGCUUACAAGUUUUGUAAGGAACAUGUAUAACAUUUUGGUUCAUUAUUGAAUGACUCAAAAUGUUUUAAUAAAACUUUAAAAUAUGAGUUUUGCAUUCCUCAGACCAAGCACCGGACUUGAGAGAGCCUUCUCCGCUGCCACCCCCACUCUCUAAAAUUCACCCCCCAAACCCAUCCGAGACUGUACUGACCCCCACACUUUUAAAUCACUCCUAAAAACACACCAUUUUGAAUUGGCUUUUAAUCUGUGAACUGUUUUUUAUUGUCUUCUCAUAUUGUGUCUUUUUAACCUUUUACAUCCUUGGUUUAUGUCUAAAAACUUUCUGUAUUCUUUUUCUUUGUAAAGUGUCUUUUAGCGCCUGUAAAAGCACGUUAUAAAUAAAAUUUAUUAUUAUGAUUUAUUAUAAUUUAUUAUGUGCAGAGACAAAGUGAAAUGCUCAUUGUCUACUGUUUGAAUAUUUCAGUCUUUCUCUUGUGAUGAAUGAAAUGCUGAAUCUGAGGGUCGACCCAAACUUUGAAGAACCCACUCUGUAGUCUGUGAUCAGAACUUUUUAAUACUCAUUAGACCCUCGAUGGAGUUUCUCUAUAAAUUUUAUACUGUGGUUUACAAUUUAAAGCUUGUUUUCAGAGGUAAAAGCUCUGCUAACUUCAGUUUUCUUGUGUACUUCUGAUAAGGAGAAGAUAUGGAUUGCUGUGGGACUUGAGCAAGAUUUAUGACAGAAAAUAAGAGUCAUUCAUCUCUAGUGCCUCCACACAAUUUUACAACCCUGGUCACAUUUUCACUUUCACUGGAUGCUUCUCAUGUGACAGAUCUUAUAUCAAGAGGAAGUUUAAGAAACGGACAAGGAGAGGGUCUACAUCCCUCAGCUAGUUUCACUUCAGAUCCUGCGGCUGCGGUGUGUGUGUGUGUCAAUACUUGUCAGAAAAGUGACAGUGCCGUUCGCCAAAAAAUUACUGCCUGAAAAUCAUUCCAAUAAGCCAAGUUUCUGUCAGUCGUCUGUAAUUUGUGGACGUUUCAUGAAGGACUGUCAUUGUUUCAGUCAAGGCCGUUUCAGCAUCAUAAGUUCUCCGGGCUGAAAGCUCCUGUCUCGCUCCUCUUUGUCCUCGCUCCUUCAGAGAGGGAAGAGGGAGUUAAAAAAAAAAAGCGGGUGUGCAUUCAUUCUGGAGCUGCACCUGUUGAUUGGAGAGUACGUCUUUCCCGUUUUACGUCUUGGAUUUACGGCCUUCAGCUGGGGGGCAUGGGAGGGGAGAACAAGGAGGGGGCGACCUUUCAUUGGGGUUCUUUGGGGGAGCCGUGGCAGCUGUGAUGACUUCACUGACUCCUCGUGUAAAAAGACAUUGAGGAGGAGGAGGACGCCCCCCGCCUUCGCUCCCUCUCUCUGUACCUUGAACCUGAUAGCGGCCUGAUUCGACACGCCGCCUUCAUCAGCUGUUAGCUUCUAUCUGACUGAGGCGACCUUAAAAGACAUAAAAAGGCGAAUUUAUCUCCCCUUAUUUGUGUCUUUUCACGCCGCUGAAAGACUGAUAGGAAGAGAUCGCUAAAAAGUCCCCCCGCGUUUCAUAUGUGUGGUCUUUGACGGCAGAAAAAUGACUUUUUUAUGAGACCAGCAGCUGCGUGAAAAGAAACAUUAGCAAUGCUGACUCAGUACAAAGAGCCGCUAAGAAAUCCGUGCCAAUCUAUCUCUGGUUUGGCAGCGAGAGAAGCGAGUAUGAAGAGAAAUCUCCGCUUUGUAAAUGAUGAUUUUAGGAAGUGCCCCAUUAGCGAGCAGCUCCUUUUCCCCUGCUGGCUUCCCUCUGGAGCAGCUGUCGGUCAGCGUGUCAGUGGGUAAAUCUCUCAAACACAGAUCGCUAAUGAGGCUGGAGCUCUUGAGAACAGCCUGGCCUUGAACGCAGCAUCAUCCCCUGUGGAGUGAUGAGGUCCUCCCUGAUAUAACACAAGACUUUUAAAGCCUCAGAUGUCUAAAUUCGGCACCUUUACACCGUUUCUUCCUCUGCUUAAUCUACAAGAGUCUGAAGGUCCCAUCCUGGUGGUCUUUGAAACUCAGAACAGUCCAGUUCUGACCCUUAACCCUCCUCCAGGGUUAUCCUAGCUGCCUGUUAACCCUCCUGUUUGUCAAACCAGUCAAGAGGUUUUCGGGUAAUGAGCUUGUCCUCGAUGAAAGAGGUUUCGCAGAUCGCGGCCCGAGCAGCUGGAGAAGCCGCUGUUGGCGUGAACGCUGCUGCACAUUCCUGCUGGGUCACGUUUCACUAAGAGAUGUGGAGCAGCUGGAGAUGGACGAGUUUAGUAACGGGUGACUCAAAGGGGCUGACGUUGCUUUUUUUUUUUAGCGUGUUGGAAGUUCUCUGCAAACUUAAUGUACACCGUGAACCGAGGAAGUGGAUUCAUGAGGGAGGACUUUUACUGAGGGGCUCUGGAGACCACACUCGUUUAAUUUCUGAAUACACCUUUUGUUUGAUUUUUGCCUCUUAACGUGUAAAAAUGCUGCUUCUGCAUUUUGUAUGUGAGGUUAAAACAUUAUUACCAUUACCCUGCUGUGUUUAAUACUUGACUGUGAUUGGUCAAAACCUGGUAAUUAGUUCUUAAUGGCAAAAGUGACGCCUGAGGAAACCUGAUUGUACACUUCAUAUCAAACUAAUCUGCAAAAAGGAGACCAACACAGUCACCCCUUUGUAAGUUGACACUGUGGCAAAAACACCAGUUUUCUCAGCAGUCUAUUGGUUAUCACCAAUUUCCUAUACUUAUCUCAUCAGACAGUAAAGAUGAAGUGCACUUUAUUUACCUUAAAGGGAUUUUCCAGGGUAAAAUUGAGUCGGGGUAAAACACACCGUAACACCCACUCUCUUCCAGAAGCUGCUUGUUUGUAGCGAGACCUCAGGCCAAUUCAUUAUGGACUACAGUGGGGUGACGCAGCUCAAAGAAGAACAUUUAUGAUCAUUAAAUGAUCAUAAAUGCUCUUCCUUGAGCUGCGUCCCCCCGCAGCAGUUGAUGGACUCACCCGGAGGUCUCCGUACAAACAAGUGGGUGCUGAAAGAGAGUAGGUGAGUUGUGUUUAGUCUCUUUGCUAAGGAAAUCAGGCAAAGUUAAAAAGAUGUUUGGUGGCUCGUGCUGUGGCUAGGACCCUAUAUGUCCUGUUGAUGAAGUUAGGUGCUGUUCUGAGCAUUAUUUGUGGCUAUAAAGUGGUGUUUUGUUUGAGGUUUGUUUAUGGCUCCUCAGACUGCUGUGUAUUGCUAUCGUGCGGUCAUUACUAAAGUUGGUAUAACUAGAGAAGAAAGCGGUCGGCAACAUUCAUCUCUCGACGGGGUGUCUAACUCAUUGCUACGGUGUGUUUGACCCUAACUUAAUUUUACGCCGGAAUAUCCCUUUAAAAUGCUUACUGUUGACCUUUAGUCCAGUCUUUAUGCUCUUAAAAUGUCUGGGAAUUAUCUGGAGCUUACUUUGAUACUAAAAUGGUUUGAAUUUAGUUUGUUUCCUCUUACUGAAGACUUAAGAGACCUGUUGUCUCAAUGGAUGGAAAACUUGUUACAGCUCUGACUUUAUUUCUGAAAUUGUUGAUCUAUUUGCUCACGCAGUCUCUCACACAGAGAAGAAUCCUUACCUCCAAUCACAUAACUUCAUUACUUGGGGGAAAUUCCUUCAGGCAUUCAUUCAUUCAUUCAAUCCUUUAUUAGUUUAUUCUUUUUUAAUUAUUUAUUAAUUGGUAUGUGACAGCUUCUUUAGUGUGUUGUUGUCUCUGUCUUAAAAAACACUUCUGGCAUUAAACUAAAUAUGAAUAUAUUUUUCAUAAAACAGUAAAAAUUUCAAGUAAUUUGUCAGAUAAUUAUAGGGUUUAAAUGUUCGACUAACAUCAAAUUGUGUCUUUAUAAACAUAAAAUGCUGUCUGAACUUUUUUGGAGUUGGGUUUUAACUUGGGUUGGAAACUUUCCCUCAGAGCGUGUUGUUAUCAAAUGUGUGCUCUGCUUAUCUGAUGAAACUGGAUUUCCCACGGAGCCAGAGUCACAGUGGGAAAUCUCUCCUGCCUGUUAAAGCUGCAGUAAGUUUGUCAGUUGUUCAAAUAAAAGUGUAAAACACCAUCAGGUUCAAGAUUCGAGCGUUCACGAGAGCUGCUGCACGGUGUAAGGACUCAUGAGACUGACUGCCUCUGAGCAGAUUUCAUCUCCAGUUUUAGCUCGGAUACCAAACCUCCGUAAAUAGUGUGAGAUCACGUGAGAGGAGGCGUGGUGCCAGCAGGCUCGUAUAUGUUACAACCUCACCCACAUUCUUGAUUUUUUUUUUAUGACAGUCCGCUGGAAACAUGCUUUCUCUGACACGUGGCGUCAACGCUUUUACAACCUGUCAGCUGCUUCACAUGUCAGCCUCUGUGUGAAUGGUAGAGGAGCUCCAAAACGCUCAUGAAUCACAGAUGGGAGUGGCAGAAACAGACGCAGCAUCACGGUCAAUCCUGAAACCUUAGAGGCUGAUUAUUGCCCUGGAAAAUAUCUAGAUUUGUCACUCUUGAAGGGCAUAAAUUUCCCCCACUUAUUCAGUUAGUCAUUCAUUCAUAAAUUGAUGCUCGAACCAAAGAAAGGUUUUAAAGUUGGGACAUUUUUUCCUGUAAUUGUCCUUAUUGUGUCUCUGUAAUGACAGUAUGGAGAUGUCGAAAAAGCAAUUCACUUUUAUCUAGAUAAUACUGAACUGGAAGGAUUUUGUCUUCUACAGCCACGUUUUCAUACUAGUUUUUUGAGCAGGAUCGCCAAGAUUUUCGAUUCACUACUGGUACAACCAUAAGGUUCAUUCUGUAAACGUCAUUGCAUGUGUCUUUGUUUAUGGUCGUAUUCAAAGCCUGUUUUUUUCCGCAUCUUUACAGGCUGAUUUUUCUACUAAUGAACAAACAAGUGGCGUCCUCUGGCGUUGUUAUUGAACUUUUUAUUUUUCCCCUGACAUCCCACUCAAUCAUGUGGCGACUCGACGCCUUCAGCAUGUUUUACAUUUACGCGUUCCAGGGUGAAUUUCCCCCGGCACAGAUGCACUCACAAUGACACUGUGGGCUCAGGUGCGGUGACAGGAAGUGGAGGAGGAUUUUCAGAGCUGAGAGCAAAGCUGUCCAUUACAACGUCAGUGUCACUUCAGUGAAAGGUUGCUCUCUGCUUUACCGCUGAAGGCGACUCUAAACUGUCAGUGUUUGAUGCAGUGAACAUGGAGUCACUGAGCUGAUCGAUGUGUGUCAGCCACAAACCUGAGUGGGGCAGAGCUAAUGCUGUUUGAGCCGACUUUGGUCUGAAAGCCACAGGACUCUCAAUGCUUGUCUGGUGCUGAAUUCGAGGAAAUGACCACAAAGGAAGAGUGUUUAACUGUAAACUGCAAGCUUCAUUAAUAUAACUUGAGUAGCCAGUUUCAUAGGUGCACUUUGAUCGAACUUAUGCACGUAAAUUCUCAUCAUACGUACUUAAAUACAGCUUACAUCUGCAAAGUUUGUCCUCAGUUUUCUCUCACUAAGCCUUGUGUAAGACCCGUGUGUGGAUUUUUUUCAACUGUCUUAUGUGAAACCGUUACAUAUCUCGUAACUGUUGCAGCAUACUGAUAGGUAUUUUUGUGUGAUUAAGCUUCCUGGUAAUAUCAUUGGGGUUGAAAAGAAACUCAGUUGUUGGUUUCAACCCAAAAGUUGUUGUUUACAGUCUUUAACACUUAGAACUCUGCUGGAUCGCCGGCAAUCCCAUUUUACACCAUUAAUAUUGUUUACAGUUUCUCAGGAACUAUACUGCGUAUCUCUAUGGGAUGAAAAGUGUUCAAAAAUGCUGCUAAUGUCUUCCGGGUUUGACAAGCUGUUUUGAUGACGUCUUUUUCUGUCAAACUUUCAACCAAUUACAUGGUCUCAUAUUCUUCUUCUAUUGUUCCAUUGAUGGUAGUGUCCAAUAAGAGGCAACCAAAGAUCAACAAGAGACAAGAAAGUUCCCUGCUUGUCUGCAAAAUGAGAAAUAAUGGUCCCCAAUGCUUGGAAACAAGCAAAGAAGAGAUUAUGAGCAGUAUGAUGAUCUCUGUCUCAUCCCAGACAGGAACUGCUUCAAAGAGUGGCAUAAACAACCGUAAAUAGCAAAAAACGCCUGGAAGAAUUAGUAUAAAUAUGUAAAUAGUUUCUGUUGUGUGUUUGUUCCAAUCACAAUAUUUCUACUCCUGAUAGUCAAGACUUGACAGAAUGAUGUGCAGGUGGGAAAAGGCUUGGUCACUUUAGAUUUAUGUGUUUUUUGAUGGAUCUGAAUCUACCGUCACAUUCAUUUUACAUAAUUUUUGCUCCCAUCACUACAGAAGCAUCUCUACUAAUAAGUCUGGUCCUGCUCGGGGUUUUCUGCCUGUUUUAAAGAAGCUCCUCUGUGUCUGUCUGAUCAUUCUGACAUUAAAAGUGACUAAUUGUAAAAGUGACACCUUAUAACCGUAAAACAUGAGAUGAACAUUUAUAGAGAAAUAAGUCAAUCUUCCAACAAGAGAUAAAAAUGAAUUCAUAGGAAAGAAAACUCUCGACUCAGCCCACUCAGGGGUUUUUACUGCUUGAUGUGGUGAUGCAGAUUGAAUAUGAUGUUUUUCACAUGGCUGAGUCACUCUUGAGUUUUUGACUCUGCUUGGGUUUUUUGCAUUAUAAGUCAUCGUCACAUAAGCUCUUAAAACAACAACAACAACAAAAUUCUGAAAACUUAUGAGAAAUCCUGGUGUGAAUGCAAACGGUCAAAUUUUUCACUUCAGCCAUGUGACGGGUGUUCUGCUGGUUAGAGAAAUGUUACCGCAGAGAGAAGUGACAGCAGACGCUGUGAGUUUGCACUUUUUAUUCACGUUUGAAUGACCACAAGGGCAAGUGUAGAAAAAACUGUUAUUUCAGAUUUUAGGAGAAGUGUGUCUCAGUGGACCAAUCUUGACAUUAGUCUAUUAAGAGAGUGUUUUUCUUGCUAAUGUGUUUGUCGAUUGUUUUGGCAUGGGAAGUAUGGUGCCUUCAAGUGGAUACUGAAGUUUUGGAAGGAAGAGCUCCUGAAAUUUUCCCAACAUUUUCCAGUGUGUGCAAAAUCAGCUGUAUACUACACUCUAAAAACUCUUGGGUUAUUUCUUCAACCCAAUUACUGGGUACUACAUGUUGAAUUAAAUUAAAUUUCUGGGUUAUUUUUCAGAUCCAUACCCAUUUCAUGGGUCAUAUGGAUUCUAUUGUAACCCAAUUUGAGGGUUUUUUGAAUGGGUUAAUAAUUAUGGGUUAUUUUUCUGAGAGUAGCCCAAUAAUUGGGUCAGAACGUUGGGUUCGAUUGACUCUAUGUGGUUUCUUGGGCUGUGUCCAAAAUGAAUCACUCAAUCUCUAACCUCCAUAAGGGGUUUCAGUAUAUAGUUGACUAUGUAGUGAACUCAAUCACCCGAGGUUUCAGACACGACAUGGCAAGGCGCAAUGCAUGACGGGAUGCCCACCACCGGUGAUUGACCAUCGGAUGGUCACUACAUUUUGCAAUGCUCUGUGGGAAAUUUUGGGUCGCCUAUAUAGGGCACUGGAAUUGAUCACUCAGGUUUCGGACACCUCUCAAAAUGGCGCUAACCCCCAUAUAGUCACCUAUAUAGGGGUUGGGGAUCCAUUUCGGACACAGCCUAAGCCUAAUGGCAAUUAAAGUGACCUGGUGACAUUGUGAACUUUGACCUUGAUUUUAAAUAAUAUAUAUAUCUUUUGGCUGGGGGUUCAAAUCCUGCAUGCGACACAUCUGUACAGAGCAAACUGCAUCCACCAGUGUGGGUCCCUAGCCAAGGCCCAUAGCGCCAUGGCUUACAAUCACUUCGAUAAAAAUACACGGGAUAAUAGGGUACAGGUUGUAAAAGCAAAGCUCCCAAAAAAAAAGCUCUCCAAAUGCAUAUAUAAAUUUAACCCAAGAUCAUGAGUCGAAUUAACUCGAAGAUUGCGUUGACCCUUAAAAAAGGGUUAUUGAGUCAACCCAAAAUUUGGGUUUAUUUGAAUAACCCAACAUUCGGGGUCAAAAUAACCCAAGAAGUAGUCGGCCCCUUUUCAACCUGGGGGUUUUUAGAGUGUACUAUUUCUUCAUCAGUUUUAGGUUUACCAAGUUCAGUUUUGAAGCCAAGGAGUUAAAGUUUAUCAUUUCCAGUCAGAAAACAUACAAAAGACAACAAUCAUUCUCUAUUCCAACUCUUACUCUAACUGUCAGCUUCACCAGAUGUUUGACACUUGACUUGAUCAGAUAAACUACUUAUUAUGUGAAUUUGUCUUUACUCAAAAUGUGAUUAAAGAUGAGUGUUUAUUGUCCUUUCUGCCAGUUAUCUGGGUUUCACAGUAACUGUACCACUCAUAGUGAGAAGGAGCGGCUGAUUUUCAGAGAUGAAAGUUUGGUCUUGAUAACUUGCAUUAUGACACCAAAGUUAGCCCACACUCACUCAUAUCAGUACUUAAACAUGCUCUAUUUGUUUUCUCUGUUUUGCAGGUCGGUGGUGUUGCAGACCCCCUGUGCAGAUGCAGGCGUCGCAUUGCCGCGAACUGAAGAGGCAGAGCUGAAUGGAGAAGAUGCGAAGGCGGAAGCGGGCAGAGUUAAUUCAGUUUCACAGUCUUAAUGAAUCGCACACACUUUUACACACAAAAACAGAGAGUACAUGGUUUUAAUACUAUCCACUUCCCUCUUUCUGUGAGAGGACACACACAGGCACCCUGAAUGGGCCCCUGUGGUGAUCAGCUCUGUGGUCGGGAAGUACCUAGUGUUACAACUGUCACGCUGCUCUGCUUAAAGGGACAGAGUGGAGCGUUUUCACAUGCAGUGUCCUUUCUGAAUCAAACUGUACAUCUAAGAUCUGCUGAAGGGUUUAAAAAGUCUGAGAGCAUGAGUCAAGUAACUCGAAGUUAAGACAUGUUUUGAAUUUAAUUCUAUUUCUAUCUAUUGUUUAUAUAUGUGAUUUGAAGGGUUAAAGGGUUAAGAGUAAAAAAUUGCACCAAAAAGUGACAUUAAUUUCGGUUUAUCAGAGUAAUAAGAGCAUGCACACAUCACUCAGAUCUCAUCCUUAAAUAGACUCUGCGUACUUGUUUUCUUCUGGUCUUUAAGUUGCCCCCGUAGAAGUUUCUGUUGUUGAAGUGAGGAAAGUCCAAGAUAGACAUGACUCACUCCUCAUUUUUGGUCUUUAUGUAGAUAUCACAAGGUUUUGAGGCGGGUUUGAGGUCAUCACCCUGCAACAGAAUGAAACCUCCCUUACGAAGAUGCACACCGUUAGGCUAGAUGCAGUGUUUUGUCCCAGAGGGGGAUUUACCCUGAGAAAAAGUGCAAAAGUACAAAGGUUUGUGCAACUUUGCAACUUAAGAUAGCUACCACACAACAAUCAAGAAGAGAUACAACAUUAGAAAUAACAUGUUCCUUCAAAAGGAAAAAUGAUGGGAAACUCCAGAAAACAGCACAAAAAAGUGAAUGCUAAAAAGAGAUUAGACUAAUACAUACAUUUAGAUUUGGACUUUUUUGGGGUAAAGAUCUGUUUCUCAUUGAUUCCACGACUUGAGUGACUUCUAUAUGUACAACUUCUACAAACCUGUUACUGACAUCAAUCCCAAACUUGAAUAAAACCCUAAAUUCCGCCUUUUUUCACAGACAUCCUCUCCGACUUUCUUAAGUAUUUAAGUAACCUCAAAGUGUUUCGUCAUAUUGCUGUUUGUCAGACAGGAUUUAGAAAUGUCUGCUGUCUUCUCAGAUCUGUGGUGGCCCUUAAGGUCCAUGGCACGAAUGUUUCAGAAAGAUAAAUCAUAAAACAUUUCAUGAAAUUCAAAAACAUUGUGAAACAUAAAAUAUUCUGUAAACAGGAAGUGUGUUCUAACUACUUCUACAAAAGGAGUGCAAAAUAUUUUAGAAACAUCAAAUAUAUUUUUUCAAAAUUCCAAUGUAUUUUUUUUUUUUGUAAAAGUUUGUGUUUCUGAAGAAUUUUUAAAAAAUUCAAAAUUUAUUUUUGUGUUUUCAAAAUAAAUCCUCUCUGACUUCCUUAAAUAUGUGAGUAACCUCAAAGUGUUUCGCCAUAUUCCUGUUAAUCAGACAGGAUUUAGAAAUGUCUGCUGUCCUCUUAGAGCUAUGGUGGCCCUGAAGGUCCAUGGCACAGAUGUUUCAGAAAGGCAGUGAAAAGAUAAAGCAUAAAACACAAAAACAUUUCAGCAAAUUCAAAAUCAUCACGAAACAUAAAAUAUUCUGUAACCAAAAAGUGUGCUUUAAAAACUACUCCUGAAAAAGGAUUGCAAAGUAUUUCAGAAACAUCAACAUCAAAUAUAUUUUUUUAAAAUUCCAAUGUAUUCUUGUUUUGAAAGUUUGUGUUUUCAAAGUAUUUUUAAAAAGUGUCAAAAUUAGUUUUUGUGUUUUCAAAUUAAUUUUGGGUUUCAGAAAUAUCAUUAUGAUGUAUAAUUUUAUUUUCAUUUCAAAACUGUUUUAUGUUUUAACAUUUUUUUUCAGAAAUAUUUUUUUCCAACAUAUAUUUUGUAUAAAUGUCAGAUAUUUUUGUAUUUUGAAGAAUGCUUUAGGGUGUUAUGCCUCUCUUUGUCUUAUAUUUAUUUACCUGUUUCUGUGUUUGAUUAAAUAUUUAUCUUUUAUGUCAUAAUGUGCCGUUGCUCUUCAGGGCCACCGUACAUGACGAGUGCUUGACAGCCUUGUCUUGCAGUACUUUUGGAUGACAUGGUCACUUUUGGUCUGCCUGGAUAGACUUCAUACGUGUUUGACUGCAUUUCAGCAAAACGUUGAAGAUCUUUCUCUUGCGUCGCUGCUUUUUACUAAAGACUUAAAAAGCAUAAAUAAAAUGUUAGUUCCAGUUAGUUACAUAUUUCUUUGAAGCCAGUUUUAUAAGCUUUGAAAAAUGGUGAAAACUUAUCAAAUUUGCACAUUUUGACAAAACUCUAACCUCUAUCAUGAGACUUUAUGUGUAUGGUGCUGUGGGAAAGUAUGAUCUGGUGUAAAUGUGUCUUCACAGGAAAUAAGAAAAAGCAUCUCUAAUCUCACUUGAGUUUAUACUUUCAUUUUCUGUCUGCAGGGGUGAAUUUCCUUGCACUGUACACUGUUGAGUGUUUCUGUAAAACUGCCCACUCUCUCUAAAUAAAUUGUUCAUACUGGGAAA